rfam:Clostridium baratii str. Sullivan, complete genome.
GGACGAGCCUCUGGAGAGACCUAAAGAGUUUACUUUAGGCACCGAAGGAGCAAGACAUAUAAAUUAAUUUAUAUGUUGAAACUCUCAGGUAAAAGGGACAGGGGAUUUUUU